UACGAAGGGGGCUAGCGUUGUUCGGAAUUACUGGGCGUAAAGCGCACGUAGGCGGGUGGUUAAGUCAGGGGUGAAAUCCCGGAGCUCAACUCCGGAACUGCCUUUGAUACUGGCCAUCUAGAGAUCGGAAGAGGUGAGUGGAAUUCCCAGUGUAGAGGUCGAAAUUCGUAGAUAUUAGGGAAGAACACCAGUGGCGAAGGCGGCUCACUGGUCCGAUACUGACGCUGAGGUGCGAAAGCGUGGGGAGCAAACAG
rnacentral:rRNA from 1 species